UUUUAAGCUGCUUUCUUGGCCAGGCUUCCCUUGGAAAAGAGAUCGUUGUGUCUCAAUGGGAUCGACCUGGUUAAAUAAAGUUUUAAUAAUAAUAAUAAAAAUGAAUAAAUUUAUAUUGCAAAAUGUGAAUUUAUUGUACA